GUGUUCUCACUUCGGCAGCACAUAUACUAAUAUUGGAACAACACAGAGAUUAGCAUGGCCCCUGCACAAGGAUCCCACACAAAUUUGUGAAGCGAUCCAUAUUUUU